UACGAAGGGUGCAAGCGUUACUCGGAAUUACUGGGCGUAAAGCGUGCGUAGGCGGUUUGUUAAGUCUGUCGUGAAAGCCCUGGGCUCAACCUGGGAAUUGCAGUGGAUACUGGCGAGCUAGAGUGCGGUAGAGGAUGGUGGAAUUCCCGGUGUAGCGGUGAAAUGCGUAGAGAUCGGGAGGAACACCCGUGGCGAAGGCGGCCAUCUGGACCAGCACUGACGCUGAGGCACGAAAGCGUGGGGAGCAAACAGG
rnacentral:rRNA from 1 species